GUGGCCUGGCAUGGAGGAUGAGAGGUGGCAGAGAGAGGCAGGAAGAGGGAGUCCCGGAGACUCUGGAGGUGGCAGAAAGCAAGACAGGAAGGGCCCAGGCUGCUGGCACAGUGGCAGGCAAGCGGCAGUAGCGCCAUUCCAUACCUUCUCUCUCUGCUGCUCGUCCUCCAUGGCAGGACUGAGGAUGUGAGCCCUGUCUGUCUGCCUGGGCUGGACCUCUAAGCCUAACUGUGCUACCAAUUGGAUGAGCAGAAACUAGCAAGAGCGGCCACCUGCCUGGACUGGAAAGAGAAGACAAGACUCACAAUUCAGGCGUGAAGGGUGGUGAGGCAGUAGCCACUGGCGUGGUAGCAUCUAAGGCUGGAGCAGUGGUAGCUGUGGGGCUGCAGAUGCCGCUCUGCCUCUCGCUAGCCUCCAGAAGAGGAGGAGUAAGGCAGAUCGCACCCUACCAGCCGGUCUGGGGUUUUCUUGACCGUUGCUGGAGGCCCGCCCGUCUUGUCCCGUCCAUGGCCCUGCUGGGCGAACUCACCACGGUUCUGGCAGCAAAGGCUAACAU
ensembl:antisense Gm16323 predicted gene 16323